GAUGAACGCUGGCGGCGUGCUUAACACAUGCAAGUCGAACGAUGAAGCCCAGCUUGCUGGGUGGGUUAGUGGCGAACGGGUGAGUAACACGUGAGUAACCUGCCCUUGACUCUGGGAUAAGCCUGGGAAACUGGGUCUAAUACUGGAUAUGACUUCUCAUCGCAUGGUGGGGGGUGGAAAGAUUUAUUGGUCUUGGAUGGACUCGCGGCCUAUCAGCUUGUUGGUGAGGUAAUGGCUCACCAAGGCGACGACGGGUAGCCGGCCUGAGAGGGUGACCGGCCACACUGGGACUGAGACACGGCCCAGACUCCUACGGGAGGCAGCAGUGGGGAAUAUUGCACAAUGGGCGCAAGCCUGAUGCAGCGACGCCGCGUGAGGGAUGACGGCCUUCGGGUUGUAAACCUCUUUCAGUAGGGAAGAAGCGAGAGUGACGGUACCUGCAGAAGAAGCGCCGGCUAACUACGUG
rnacentral:rRNA from 1 species